rnacentral:lncRNA from 1 species
AAAUAAAUUGAUAUUCUCCCCUAUCUAUUUCUAUUCUCUCCCAUUUCUUUCUUUCUUUCCUCCCUCCUUUCUCCUAAUCUCUCUCCUUUUCCCUCCUCCUACAAUUGUCCUACCACAUUGGGCGUCAAUUUGGUGCCAGAGCAACUUCUUCCCUCUGAACAAAGCGUUUCCACCACAUGAAGCAAAGGAUUUUUCCCGCAGUAGCAUCUCAGCCCAUUCCCUUAAUCAACCUUGUCCACAGACAACAACCUAUUCACAAUACAAUCACCGAUCUCCCAAAAUCCACCUCUAUAUAAGCAGCAGCCUGAUUGUUCUCUUACUUAUUGUCGGCUAAUUGCCGUAGCUACCACCCAACAAAAAACAAAUGGCACAUUGUUUCACUGCCAUAAUCUCACCCCUUUUAAUGAAUGUCAUGUGAAGAGCAAUUGGGGAAGGAAAGGAUUUAGAACUAGAAGAAAGAAGGAAGAUAGGACGGAACCAACGGUAAUAUCUAAAAUUCAUACUGCGACGUCGUUCGGUGGAAUGGUGCGGUGUCGUUUUGGUCAAUUGGAUUCGUAAUAAAUUAGUUUAAGUUUUUGGUUAUUAUUGAAAUUAAAAGCACAAUUUUGUAGAAACACUAUAGAUACAGAAAUGUGGCGGAUUGCAUUUGAGUUUUAUCAUCUGACAUUUCAGUAAAAAAUUUGUUAAGAGAUUCAGCAGUUGUCCUCAUCUCGUUCUUCUUGUUUUCUUGUUUCUCUCUUUCCAUAUUUUAUUUUCUUCUUAAUUCUGUUGAUUACAGUUAAAAUCAGUUGGGGCAGAGCAAGUUCUUGUGUUGCAGUUUCGGUGAAGCUUGGAUUUAAGCUUAAGCUGUGACAAAUUGGUAUCAGAGCGGGGGUGAAAACUAGACUAUUACUGACCAUGGACACUAGAGCUAAGGUUGUGGACGAGCACUUGAAAAAGUUCGAUUUGGGGAUGGAUGAUUUGGGGAUUUCUUUUAAAUCUGUUAACAGCAAGUUGGAGAAUAAGUUAACUGCUACACGUGAAUCAUUCUAGGUAAUGGGUCAUAGGCAGGAAAAAAUGGAAGACACUAUGUUAGACUUGAAUCAAAAGUAUGAAAAAAGGGUAGCCAUGUUAGCCCAAAUAUCUUCUGAUCUAAAACGGGAUUAGAAAAACAAAAGGGUGGAAGAUUCUGUGAUAGUCUCUACACCAGAAGCUCGUAACAUCGGGAGUAGUGCUAGUACUAGAGGGGAGUAUGGUAGGAAUGCCAAACUUCCUAAAAUUGAUUUUCCUCACUUUGGAGAAGAAGGUCCCAGAGUAAAGCUUAGGAGGGCUAGGAAGUACUUUCAGCUAUAUCAAGUUCCUAAUGAGCUAAGGCUAGGGAUAGCUGAGAUGUAUUUGAAGGAUAAGGCAGAUAUAUGGUUUGAUGGGUUCAUAGCCAGCCAUCCAGGAGCAGCCUAGAAUGUGUUUUCUGAGGAAUUAUGUAAGUGGUUUGCAGAGACGACUGGGAAAGAGGUUGUUGAAGCCUGUAGUAAGAUCAAGUAGUUUGGGACUAUCUCUGAAUAUCAAGAGAGGUUUGAAGAGUUGAAAGCACAAGUGAUGAUGGCNGGACAUUCAACAUCAGAUCGACCUCAUUCCGGGGUCGAGUCUACCAAACCGACCAGCAUAUCGCCUCAGUCCCAAGGAAGCUGAAGAGUUGCAGCGACAGGUGGUAGAAUUAUUGGAAAGGGGCUACAUUCGUGAGAGUAUGAGUCCUUGUGCAGUUCCUGCUCUCCUAGUGCCGAAGAAAG